UGUAAAAAGUUGUAGUAACACAAUGUAGACACUCAAUGUCACGCCCCGGGGUCUUUUUGAAGUCUUAAAGUCGAUGUGGAAGUGCUUAAUUUUUUUUUUUUUUGAAAGCCUUGACCCCGGGAUGUCAGAUCCGCCACAAAUAAAAAAAACCCACUGUUCAUACGGAUAGAGUCUCCCUUGUAUUUGCACGGCGUCGUACAUGUAUAAGAUACAACUACAUUAUAUACAUAUCCAAAUACAAUCACCAUAUCACAUUUAGUCAUUUACAAGAAUACAAUGUGCUAUUCAUAAAUCCACAUCUAUUAGUUUAAAACGUUUUCCAUCCGAAAACUCAUUUUGAAAAACUAAAAAUCAUGAAAACUGAAAAAUCCUUUUUAAAACUAUUUCCCACACGGAAAACUUUUCUUUAAAAAGCUACCACGAGGGUUAGAAAAUCUUUUUCACAAUUUUACGUGAAAACCGUAAAUACUUUAUUGAUUUCACAAAACUACAUGUAUCCAAAUAAAAUAAAACAAACUGAACCAUAAAUAUCUAAGUCAAUUCUUCAGAAAUAGUAAGGAUAGCAACUAAACCAAUUCAACCAAGUCGGAAGCUCUAUCGACCGCUACUAAUGUGUCUCAUGCCUCGUCUCAAUCCUCACCGCCCAAAUUACUUGAAAAAUCGUGGGGGGUGAGAACAUAUACACAUGUCUCCCCUCCCAGUGGGUACCACAAGCCAACGAAGGUGAUGAGUACUCACCGGUACACAGGAAGAGAUAAAUAAAGUCAUGAGCAGACAUCACAAAUACAGUAGCAAUAAUACCGGAAGUAAAGGAAACGGUAAUAGAAUAUAUAACUACCGCUACUGUAAAGUAUAACAGAAUGUAUACAUGAAUAUCAUAAUUAUAGUGGCAAUGAUGCUGUAAGGACUGAGAUUUUGAUAGUGCAAUUAGACUCUCUGUUGAUGAUGUUUAUGUGUGUAAUUUAAUUACAUAAGCAUUUGUCAAGUUUCAGGAGAAAAUGAGUUAGAAUAGAGAAGUUACGCGAUUAUUAGUUUU
rnacentral:lncRNA from 1 species